rnacentral:rRNA from 1 species
GACGAACGCUGGCGGCGUGCUUAACACAUGCAAGUCGAGCGGAGCGGCGAACGGGUGAGUAACGCGUGAGUAACUGCCCCCCUCUCUGGGAUAACAGUUGGCAACGGCUGCUAAUACCGGAUAGUGGGGGAUGACUCGCGUCCUAUCAGCUUGUUGGUGGGGUAGGGGCCUACCAAGGCGACGACGGGUAGCCGGCCUGCGAGGGCGCCCGGCCACAUUGGGCUGAGAGACGGCCCAAACGCCUACGGGAGGCAGAAGUGGGGAAUAGUGCACAAUGGGGGAAACCAUGAUGCAGAAAUCCGCGUGCGGGAUGACGGCCUGCGGGUUGUAAGCAGCGUUCAGCCAUGACGCGGUAGUGGAAGAAGAAGCACCGGCUAACUACGUGCCAGCAGCCGCGGUAAUAC